UACGGAGGGUGCGAGCGUUGUUCGGAAUUACUGGGCGUAAAGCGCGUGUAGGCGGCCUUCUAAGUCUGGUGUGAAAGCCCGGGGCUCAACCCCGGAAGUGCAUUGGAUACUGGGAGGCUGGAGUACCGGAGAGGAGGGUGGAAUUCCUGGUGUAGCGGUGAAAUGCGUAGAUAUCUGGAGGAAUACCGGUGGCGAAGGCGGCAUCCUGGACCAUUACUGACGCUGAGGCGCGAAAGCGAGGGGAGCAAACAGG
rnacentral:rRNA from 1 species